CGAUCUCGGCGAGCGGAAGAGCGACGGCGAGGAGGAAGAAGGCUAGCCACGAGAGCGUGGCACGGAGGAGAGUAUGCUGGCAGAAGCCCAGGAGGCCGAGGAAUUUUUCCAGAGUGGUUAGGGAUUGGUCGAGCUCGGUUUCGGGGUGGAGCAAGAGGGAGGCCUCAGGCGACGCCAUGAAAGUACAAGCGGGUGUCUGCCAAGGUACAAGGUGGCGAUGCUAGNACGAGAGCGUGGCACGGAGGAGAGUAUGCUGGCAGAAGCCCAGGAGGCCGAGGAAUUUUUCCAGAGUGGUUAGGGAUUGGUCGAGCUCGGUUUCGGGGUGGAGCAAGAGGGAGGCCUCGGGCGACGCCAUGAAAGUACAAGCGGGUGUCUGCCAAGGUACAAGGUGGCG
rnacentral:lncRNA from 1 species